rnacentral:lncRNA from 1 species
ACUUUCCAACAAAUCAAACGGCACAUGAUUCGGAGCUUGCUAGAGAAAGAUAUCACGAAUUAAAGUUGAAUCCGAUUCGGGUCCGAGGUGUCAGGAGAUCCGAAUUUGUUUUAAUCACCCAGGCCGCAUCCGGAGUCCAAAUCAACCAAACAAGUACUUGUUGGAAAGGUAAUUACAAGACCUUUUCAACGGAUCUAGCCCCAUCAAGAGAUUCGACUUGUGCUGACCGUGGCGGACAAAACAAGAUGACGGAUCUGUUUUUCUGUUUCCUAAAGAGUUGUAGUUUGUUAGGAAAGUUAGAGAUAGAGUUGAAUUUCGGACUCCUUAUUCAAGGUGGACGAAAAUAUCUCUCCCUCCUCCUUUAUAUACACCAUGAGCCCCCCUAAGGAGCCUUGGGUUUUGAUUAGAUAAAGUUUAGCCUUUGCUACUUUCGUGUAAUCGCGUGUGUCGGUUAGACCACCUGUUUUACCGUCAUCAAGACUCCAACUAUAUUGAGUAUUCAGAUUCGUGAACCUUCAUAUCUUCUAUUCGCAAUUUCAGAUUGCUUUUCAUCUUGUUCUUGCUUGUUCUUCGAUUGCUUGUAGGAACAAAGACCUUCGUGGUCAGGUUGAUCGUGCCCCCGCGGGAUCAAUAACCUUCUGGAGUUGGUGUAUCGAUCGCUAAGGCGCUGCCUCCUAGGCCGUAGUCGGAUCGUCAACGUCACCUCCUACCAAAUCGAUAAUUAGGUAUCUCAUCGAAAGAUCGGGACACCCUCGAGGCUAUCACGUGGUAUCAGAGCUUAAGGUUGCUCGGUGAGAUUUUUCCAGUUUAUCCGUAGUUUAGAUCUGUUUUUACCUAUCGUCCAGAAAAAGCCAAACAAAAAUUAAAAUUAGUUACCUUGUCCUAGAACCAAUCUGAGCCUUGCAAUUUUCACAUUAGUAUUUGCAUUGUUGAAUCUUUGCUGCAUUAAUCGUGUCGAGUUGCUGGAUUAGAUUGGAUCGUUUUUCAGAUUUUUUCUACUAUAUCAAACUUGCUUUUGGUUUUCUUGUUUUUCGUGUGACGCAGGUUUCCUUCAUCAAUCUUCCGCCGCCAAACUUCCUGCCACACCACCGCCAUAAUCUUCCGCCGCCACCAUAUCUUCCACCGAGUCCCUCUUCGAGUCCUACACCGAGUCCUUCUUCCAGUCCUACACCGAGUCCCUCUUCGAGUCCUACACCGAGUCCCUCGUCGAGUCCUACAUCGAGUCGGCAAGUUAUAGUUUUCAGCCGCGAGUUCGAGUCCGAGUCCAAUCAAGAGUGCUUUUGGAAAGUGUUUCAUAAUAGAUCGAAUUUUGUUUAGAGAUCAAGUUGUUCGGAAAGUUGUGGAAAAAAAAAGAAGGGAAAGAAAAAAAAAAGGAAGAAAGAAAGAAAAAAAAACGAAAAAAAAGAAAAGAGAAAGAGUUCGAGUCAGUUUCGGACCCGAGUCCGAGUAGAAUUUUAGUUUCGGGUGGGUUUGACCCGUGUUCAGUAAAACGGACGUAUCUUUUGCAUAACAACUCGGAUUUGGACGUUCUUGGACUUUUUGGAAAGCUCACGACGAAGCGCAUCAGGAAAUAUCCAGGACGCUGCCCUGCACUUUGACCCUCAAAUUCGUCCUCUAAGGUGGACUUCUCGAGCUCCAAAGUUUCUGCACCCGUUUUACGGCACCGGGGCAGCGUAGUAUAUCUCAGUUUUCUCCACCGUCCGACCUCCGUUUCGAGUGAUCUUGCACUUGUUGGAAAGCUUGUUUCGAUACGCUUCUAACCCAUAUUUUUUCAUAUUUUUCUGAAUUUUUUUCUUACUGCAGCCUUUGCUGUUCUUCGACAGACUGACGUACAGUUUUCCGGUCCUUCUUUUGCGUGAGUUUCUGGGGUUAAAAAAAGAAAAACAAAUAAAAAGAAAAGAAUAAGAAGCCAAACAGAAGGCCACAAAAAGAAAAAAGAAGAAAAAAAUCCCAGGGAUUUACUUGUUGUGCCAUCUUUUGAUCUUUCUAUCCUAUCUUCUUUAGUAUCUAGGCUUAGAUUAUUUCUGUAAUUCGUUCUUAUCGACUCCAGCAGCUAGGACUAGCAUUAUUGAGCAUAUUUUCAACUUUGCAUUGCUGAUUUGAUUAUUUGCUAUUCCUUGCUACUCACAAAAGCAUCCAAGCUCCACAGAUUCUACACCUAGGUUGGUUUGUUACCGAGGCAUCGAUACAUUUAAUCUUCGGAGGGCUUGGUCAUGCCGCUGGCCAUCACCUUCCUAUUUUGCAUGGUAAGAACUUGUAAAAACUUGAUUUUUAGCUUGAGAGUUGAGCGACUUGUAGCCACAUCCUAUUAGUUGAUAGGAACAUAUUCCUGUGUUUUGUUUCUUGUCUUAUACUAACCAUGACAGGACUUACACAAAGGAUGGAAAAUAGGCCUAUUCUAUCAAGUGACCGACAUGAGCGUUUUUCACCACAUCCAUCCUCCUCGUCUCUUGUUGACAUUGGCAAGGAAAAGGUAUAUCGCAAUCCUUGUAAUGUCACUAAUUGUUUUGGACCUCUCUUUGAUGGAAAUAAUGAUGUUGAAGCUUAUAUUGAUUGGGAAAUAGCUCUAAUUGAGCAAUUCACAUGCUUCCAUGUACUAGAUAGUCGUAAGGUCCAAAUUGCUAGUAGUAGAUUUCGUUUUGAUGCAUUAUCAUGGUGGAGUGAGAUAGUUAGAGAAAACAAAAUACCUCACACUUGGAUUGAUAUGAAGAAAAUCAUGAGAGAAAAAUAUGUUCCUCCAAGUUAUGCUUAUGAGUUGCGUCCCAAAUUACGACGUUUGACAUAUGAUAAAACUGUUGAUGAUUACUACCAUGAGUUCCAAAUUUUAACCUUGCGAUCUGGUUUAGAUGAAACCGAACAAAGAAAAAUGGAUAGGUUUUAUUAUGGGCUUAAUUUUGAAAUUUCUUACGUGAUUGAAUAUGGGGAUUACGACUCUCUAUUGUGUUUGCUUAAUCUUGCUCGUGAAGCUGAGAGGAAGUUAGAAAGAAGGUAUAAUACAAAUGAGGCGAGCCCACAAGGUAAUGUUACAGAGGUUUGUGUUGCUGAACUAAAUAUGACGUGUAUUGAAAUAAAUGAGAUAUUUGAUGAACAUGCUGCCCCUUGUAAAACUGUUGAUUUACUUGCCAAUUUGAGCGCACCCAUUGAUUCAAAUGAUAAUGAUUUAUGUGAUGAGUUACCUGCUGUUUUGGAACAGACUUGUGACGCGAUGAUUAAAUUUGAUUUAUGUUGCAUUGAAUUAAUUAAACAUGAAGAAGUGUUUCCUAUGGUUCCGCCUAAUAAUUCUUUGUGUUCUAUUAAACUUGAUGCACCUAUAUAUUUGUCACAUGCAAUGGAUAAAGGUUCUGAGUUAACAAUUUCAAAAUCUUUUGCUAAUGCCCAUGGAUACACUAUUCAAUUAAUUGGAGAACAUGAUGUGAACAAUAAAUUUUGGGUGCAUCAGAUUUGCAUUGCUUGUGAUAACUUUCUUGAUUUGAGAGAAAAUAAUAUGUUGCAUAUGCUUAACCAUUUUGAUAUGACCUCCAAUAUUGGUGUUGAUUAUUUGCCAAUUAGUUCUUUACACGAUUGUUCGAAUAUUAGUGCUUUGACAUGCUCUAAAUUUCAGCAUCUUGUAGUAACUAAUUUGGGUAAUAUUAUUAAUUAUUAUUCUCCAGUGUUGGGAUGGUAUAAUGGUGAGCGGUGCAAACCAAAUACAAGAUAUUCUUUCACUUAUAUAUGCAAAACAUAUUGUCAAUCUUCUUGCUGGAAUGAUAUUCAUGAUGAUUGUGUGACUAAUUAUCUCAUGAGAUUGUGUUAUAAAACAUUAAUUGUGCAACAUGGGAGUGGAGUUAAAAAUUACGAUAUAUACAUAUACCAUGCGCAUACCUUGUCUCUUUUGUUAGCAUAUUUUCAGCAUAAACGACGCCGAGGACGGCUUUCCUUUCAAGAAAGGGAGGAUGAUAUGGACAUGCUAACCAUGGAUACGACCAUUAGAACCCUAAUUGUUGGUGUCUCUAAUAAUUAUAAUCAGGUGAAUUCAAUUACAAAAUGUUUUCAAUAUGUUACUUGCAAAGAGGCGGAGCUACUAUCUUGUGUAAUCUUAUUAUGUAGGCAUCUUAUUGAACUUUACAAGUCCAAAGUGAAGAUGAAGUGUUAUAGCCUGCAAAGGGAGAUUCAAAGUGAAGCCUAUCAAGUCUACUUUCCAACAAAUCAAACGGCACAUGAUUCGGAGCUUGCUAGAGAAAGAUAUCACGAAUUAAAGUUGAAUCCGAUUCGGGUCUGAGGUGUCAGGAGACCCGAAUUUGUUUUAAUCACCCAGGCCGCAUCCGGAGUCCAAAUCAAGCAAACAAGUACUUGUUGGAAAGGUAAUUACAAGACCUUUCCAACGGAUCUGGCCCAUCAAGAGAUUCGACUCGUGCUGACCGUGGCGGACAAAACAAGCUGACGGAUCUGUUUUUCUGUUUCCUAAAGAGUUGUAGUUUGUUAGGAAAGUUAGAGAUAGAGUUGGAUUUCGGACUCCUUAUUCAAGGUGGACGAAAAUAUCUCUCCCUCCUCCUUUAUAUACACCAUGAGCCCCCCUAAGGAGCCUUGGGUUUUGAUUAGAUAAA